GGGUGUUUGGAGACUGUAGAUUUCAUUCUGGAUAGUCAUAUACUGACCCAAAUAUUCUGGAAGUUAGCAGUGAUAUGAAGAAGGAUUCAACUUGCAGGAUAUCCAACAGAGUGCAAGAGGAUGAGAAAACGUUGGAUAAAGGGAAACGUCUGCCUUUUUUGCUGAGAUCACACGUGUAUAUGGCUACAGAGAAGAUACCGCUGAGUUAUCCUUGAAUGUAAAAUCUAAAGUUGGUGAUAACUAAUGCUAAACACAAAUUUCUGUAUGCAGAUUAAAAUAUUAUAACUAAUAGAAAACAAAAACAUCUCAAUUUUUAUUAACUAUCAACCAAGUAAAUUUAAUUUCAGAAGGGUUAACAAAGCCAAAGAUUACAGGCACUACCUAUUUUACAUUCUAUAAUAAUAAAGUUUUUAAUAUUCCCUUGAUUCACUCCACCUACAAAGACAGUCUUCUGUGUUCUAACCUUAGUAUGAACAAAACACUUAAUUAGUCUAUAAAUGAUGCCAAGCAAAGGAGAAGUGGUCACAACAAGUCCCUAAGUGUUUAAUUAUCACGUUGGCUGACUAACUCAAGAAGACAUGAAGUAACCUAUUGAACUUAAUUAUACAAUGAACUCAUUUGAAGAACCAUUUCUGUAAGCUGCUUGCUCAAGCUUAUCCUAAUUUUAUGUCCUCACAAAUUCUUUCUUGAAUAAUUAGUCCUAAAUAGUCUCAUAUAGUAACUAUCAUACUAUUAUCAGGCAUUUCAACCAUCUUAUUGCUGAAUAAUACAUCUAUCAAAAUGCAAUAAUGAUUUGUAAAGAAGCGCAUGGUUUUCUUAAACGAUAAUGUAUAUUAAUUGAAAAGAAACACACCAUUGGACCAUUCAUAAGUGAAUUAUUUUAUUUUUGAGACAGGUUCUCACUCUCUCAUUGUGAUGGUUAAUACUGAGUUUCAACUUGAUUGGAUUGAAGGAUGCAAAGUACUGAUUCUGGGUGUGUCUGUGAGGGUACUGCCAAAGGAGAUUAACAUUUGAGUCCAUGGACUGGGAAAGGCAGACCCACCCUUAGUCUGGGUGGGCACAACCUAAUCAACUGCCAGCAUGGCCAGAAUAAAAAGCAGGCAGAACCUGAAAAGACUAGACAGGCCUAGCUUCCCAGCCUACGUCUUUCUCCCAUGCUGGAUGCUGCCUGCCUUCAAACAUUGAACUCCAAGUUCUUCAGAUUUGGGUCUCAGACUGGCUUCCUUGCUCCUCAGCUUGCAGAUGGCCUAUUGUGGGACCUUGUGAUCAUGUGAGUUAAUACUGA
rnacentral:lncRNA from 1 species